GAGAGGACGAUGGUGCGCCGUUUAAAAGCCGGCGAGAAGAAUUGCAGAAAAGAGAACGAUUGCACAGCUCGCGAACAGAAUUGGCCGUAUUGCCGGGAAAACAGAGUAGAUGGGGUAGAUGCAGACGGGGGACGGGGGAUGAGUCGGAUAAAUAGAGACCGAGAGAAUGGCCGUUGGCCAUUCUUGCGUGCUUUCUGAACUCGAUCGUUGAGACUGUGGCAACGCUUCCGGAGGAGAACGCAGACGCGCUGAUUGGGAUCGACGCCGUGCCAUCGGCACGCAGCUAAUUAUGGAUGAGAGCGGGGUAUUUCGGCGAGGCUCAAUAAUGGGAGAAAGGAGAGGAGGGGAAGAAACUAACGUAGCUAGCGCGUUGUAACGGAAAUUUAAAGCAGCUUACAGCAAAUCCGGCAACGACAACGCCAUGAAUCGAUGAUGUCAGAGACGACGCUUCGUUGAUGGAAGACUGAAAAGUUACGAGGAAUGAAAUGAAUUAACUCGUCGGUCAUGAGGGAAAUCCGAGGAUGCAUAGCACACAAUCAACCAAUUGAAAUCGAUCUGCAUGGUUGUACCACUGCGCGCUGGCUAACGAAGUCCGUUUCGGCAUAUACUAGAAUGCGGCUAUUCUCUCCUCUUGUUUCCGAAGUAACGUAAUAAAUAUAUACAUUUAUUGGCUGCGGAAACGGUGGAACGCGUAUUCAGUACGUGCUGUUAACUAUAAUGGUUAUUUGCUUCUUCUUAAAUCCAAUCUUAAAUUUGAUUGGGUUCGAAUCAAUCAAAUUAUAAGAUAGUUAUCACACAUCCUGUCUUAAGAAGAUCGGAUGUCAUUCAAAAAUAAAUUAUUUUAUAUAUAAUUUAUUUUAUAAACAAAAUUAUUGCAUAUAAAAUCUAAAGAAAUUUAAUAUAAAAUAAAAUAAAGUAAAAAUA